GACGAACGCUGGCGGCGUGCUUAACACAUGCAAGUCGUACGGUAAGGCCCUUUCGGGGGUACACGAGUGGCGAACGGGGGAGUAACACGUGAGUAACCUGCCCACAACUUUGGGAUAACGCUAGGAAACUGGUGCUAAUACUGGAUAUGUGCUCCUGCUGCAUGGGGGGGGUUGGAAAGCUCCGGCGGUUGUGGAUGGACUCGCGGCCUAUCAGCUUGCUGGUGGGGUAGUGGCCUACCAAGGCGGCGGCGGGUAGCCGGCCUGGGAGGGUGACCGGCCACAUUGGGACUGAGAUACGGCCCAGGCUCCUACGGGAGGCAGCAGUGGGGAAUAUUGCACAAUGGGCGCCAGCCUGAUGCAGCAACGCCGCGUGCGGGAUGACGGCCUUCGGGUUGUAAACCGCUUUCAGCAGGGACGAAGCUUUUUGUGACGGUACCUGCAGAAGAAGCACCGGCUAACUACGUG
rnacentral:rRNA from 1 species